UUCAGAACUUUUUUUAUUUAUGUUCUUUCUUUCUUCACAAAUAUAGGAUGUGUUUUUGAAUGUUACAAUUCAGACAAUGCGCUUGGGACGAACACUUGUUAUAUUUGAGCUUCUGAUGUGUUAGUGCAGGGGCGGGCAGCGAAACGAAAAGAAAAGGAAAAGACGAGGGAGAGAGAGAGGAGCCGAAAAAGGUUGCUCGUGUUUCUCUCCUUCCUUCCUCAACUCCAAGCGGGUGCGGGAGAGAGAUAGGGGGAAGGGCGCACCGAUUUCCCCUUCCUUCCUUGGAUUUCCCAUACCCCUCUCUCUCUUUUAUCAGGAGAGCAAGGAUUAGGGUUUGGGGAUUAUUUUGGAGAGCUGCGGAUAUGGGGAAUAUUUUCGUGAAGAAACCCAAGAUCACGGACGUGGAUCGUGCCAUCCUCUCCCUCAAGACCCAACGCCGCAAGCUCGCUCAAUACCAGCAGCAGCUUGAUGCUGUUAUUGAAGCUGAGAAGCAAGCUGCAAGGGACCUGAUUCGAGAGAGGAGGAAAGACAGGGCCCUCCUUGCACUAAAGAAGAAGAAAGCUCAGGAAGAAUUAUUGAAGCAAGUUGAUGCUUGGUUAAUUAAUGUUGAGCAACAAUUGGCAGAUAUUGAACUGGCAAGUAAACAGAAAGCUGUAUUUGAAAGCUUGAAGGCAGGCAAUAAUGCCAUUAAAGCUAUACAAAGUGAGAUCAAUCUGGAAGAUGUUCACAAGUUGAUGGAUGAUACAGAAGAGGCAAAGGCUUAUCAAGAUGAAAUAAAUGCAAUCCUAGGCGAGCAGUUAUCUGCUGAGGAUGAGGAAGAUGUUUUAGCAGAAUUCGAGAACUUGGAAAAUGAGAUCACCCUGCAGUCUUUGCCAGCAGUUCCUGUUUCAUCAGUACCAUCCACAGAAGUAGCUGGAAAGACACCUAAACUGCAGCCAGAAGCGGGACUCCAAGUUGAAGGCAAAGAAGAUGAGGUUCUUGAGCUUCCUGAUGUACCUACCACAACCCCAGUCCCAGUGGCAUCGGAUGGCAUCUCAACUAAAGCAACAAGGACAAAAGUUUUGGAGGAACCACUACCUGCUUGAAUGACAGAUUGCAUUUGGAAGGGAACAACACUUCAACUGCUUGUUUCAUGUGGUUCCGCAAUUUCUUUUGGAUGACAUGAUGAACUCGGGGCUAGGUGGAUGCUGUAACAUAGUGUGCACACAACCCAGGAGACAGGACUGGUCAUUAUAGACGGCUGGUCAAAACUUACUGCCCUGGCACAGAUUGCUGUUCGUUUUAAGGAACUCUGCGUGACACUCCAUGAUGUUCUAAAGGAACUUAUCAGCAAGCCAGAGAGGGCUACCUUUGUCAACAAUGGAGUGGUGAAAUCUAUUGUCCAUUUGUUGCUAGAGGAAGAUAAAGCUCAACAAUCUCUACAUUGAGGCUCUGGAUGGGCAAUUUAGAGCUGGAAAAGUCGGCAUGCUUGUCCUGUUGCCAUAAUGUAAAAAAGCAGAGAAGCAUUAUACUUGUGUAAAAGAACUGCAAUGACAAUCGUGACCUCAAGCAAAAAUAUGUGAACAUGUUUCAAGAGAUACUAAUCAGGAUUAUCUUGCCAAAUCAGAGAGGACAUUCCAUUCCUGGCCAAGCAGAAAGGUGUGAACUUACUGAAAUUUCUAAUCCAGCCAUUAGAGGAGUUCGGUGGUAUAGACGGGUGAACAAGUUCUUUGACGAAUUGGCUCCUUCUGCUGUAAACUAAAGAAGUAUAGGAGAAGAAGGUGCUGCUAUUGGAAAUUCUGUUAUUUAAAUUGAUGUACGCAUGUCAUGGAUGGAUGUAGACCUUCAACUGGUGUAGAAUCUCAAUGAAGAAAAGCCCUCUCACUAAACAUUUGAUUAUAAAAACAUUUGUUAUUAGAU